rnacentral:rRNA from 1 species
GGAUUAGAUACCCUGGUAGUCCACGCUGUAAACGAUGAACACUUGGUGUGGUGGGAGUUGACCCCUGCCGUGCCGUAGCUAACGCGAUAAGUGUUCCGCCUGGGGAGUACGGUCGCAAGGCUAAAACUCAAAGGAAUUGACGGGGGCCCGCACAAGCGGUGGAGCAUGUGGUUUAAUUCGACGCAACGCGAAGAACCUUACCUGGGCUUGAACUGCAGUGGACCGGUAUAGAGAUAUGCCUUUUCGCAAGAACUGCUGCAGAGGUGCUGCAUGGCUGUCGUCAGCUCGUGCCG